rnacentral:rRNA from 1 species
AACGAACGCUGGCGGCAUGCCUAACACAUGCAAGUCGAACGAAGUCAUCGGACUUUGUGGCGCACGGGUGCGUAACGCGUGGGAAUCUGCCCUUGGGUACGGAAUAACUCAGAGAAAUUUGUGCUAAUACCGAAUCAUGUCUUCGGACCAAAGAUUUAUCGCCCAAGGAUGAGCCCGCGUAAGAUUAGCUAGUUGGUGCGGUAAAAGGCUAUCAAGGCGACGAUCUUUAGCUGGUUUGUGAGGAUGGUCAGCCACACUGAGACUGAGACACGGCCCGGACUCCUACGGGAGGCAGCAGUGGGGAAUAGUGGACAAUGGGCGAAGGCAUGAACCAGCAAUGCCGGGUGAGUGAUGAAGGCCCUAGGGUUGUAAAGCGCUUUUACCAGGGAUGAUAAUGACAGUACCUGGAGAAUAAGCUCCGGCUAACUCCGUG